GGCUCGUCCCUUCCCCCACCCCCAGCCGCCGCCGCCGCCCGCGCUUCGCAACAAAGCCGGCUGCGGAGCCACGGUCCACGCCGCCCGCCCGCGACCCCGCCGCCCCGCACGGUGGUCGGAAAGUCUCUCCCUUACCAGCCUUCGCUUCCUGGUGCCCAGCUCUUAGGACCGUGUGUGACUCUGGCCUUCCACGGAGACAACAGAGAAACGCACUGCAACUCGCAUGGAGGAAUCGGCGAAAUGGCUCCGACCGCGGCGCGAGGGGGCGGGACUAGCGAGCGGUGUUGAAAGCAGCAGGGGCCUAGAAGACAUUAAACUGAUACCACAGAAAUACAAAGGAUCAUUAGAGACUGUUAUGAACAACUAUAUGCCAGCAAAUUGGAAACCAAAUGGAAAUGGGUAAAUUCCUGAACAGAUACAACUUAUCAAAAUUGAACCAAGAAGAAAUAGAAAACCUGAAAAGACCAACUAUGAGUAAUGAGAUUGAAUCAGUAAUAUAAAGUCUCCCAUCAAAUAAAAGCCCAGGCCCUGAUUGCUUCACUGCUGAAUUCUACCAAACAGUUAAAGAAGAACUAAUACCAAUUCUUCUCAAACUCAUCCUAUGAGGCCAGCAUUACCCUGAUACCAAAACUAGAUAUGGACACAAGAAAAAAAAAUCUAUAGGCCAGUAUCCCUGAUGAAGAUAGAUGCAAGAACCCUCAACAAGGCCAGGUGCGGUGGUUCACGCCUGUAAUCCCAGCACUUUGGGAGGCCAAGGCACGUGGAUCACCUGAGGUCAGGAAAUUCGAGACCAGCCUGGCCAACAUGGCGAAACCCCGUCUCUACUAAAAAUACAAAAAUUAGCCGGGCAAGGUGGUGGGUGCCUGUAAUCCCAUCUACUUGGGAGGCUGAGGCAGGAGAAUUGCUUGAACCUGGAAGGGGCGGAGGUUACAGCCAGCUCAGAUCGUCCCACUGCACUCCAGCCUGGGUGACAGAGUGAGACUCCAUCUCAAAAUAAGUAAAUUAAGAGACUCAACUAGCAUAAAUGAAUUGCAAGUCUUUUAUAGUAUAUAAUGAGCACAACAAAAGUAUCAAUAUAUUAUAUGGAAAUACAUUUUUCAAAGGUGGAUCUUUAGCUUCCAAGGAUUAAGAAUUUUGUUAUUGAGUUGGUUCUUCAUUCAGGCUCUGCACCUGAGACCUACAGUCCCCUGGGAUUUGGGUCCGAGGACUGGCAUUACCUUUGUAGGUGGCCCUUGGCAACUAGCACUGUCUAAAAUCUUAACAUUUGCAGAUGAAGCCUUACAACAUGUCCCAAAAGUAUGGAAAGUGGGCCGAUUUCAACACAACCAUUACCUGUUCCCAGUAGCUGACCAACUAGGGAGAUUUCAGAGGUUAAUCAAGCAGGACAGAGCAGGGUAGGGAAAUUUUUUUAAGCUUUAUUAUAAAACAGGUAACUUUGUCCCUAUUAAGAAUUUGGAACUGAGGCUAUAGGUCACUUAUGAUCAAAUAAUGAAAGGUCUGCUUCAACUGGACUACAUAACAUUUCACAUUUACCUUUUUGACUAGAAAUAACAGAUGAAAGUUCACUUAGUUUGGUGGGAAACAAGAGAUACAAAGAUAUCUUCUUCUCCAGGAUGAAACUCCUAAAGGUAAAUGUUCACUGAGUACCACUGUCGCUCAAAUUUAAGACAUCUGGAGUUCCUUUGAGCAUAGUUCUGCUCUCAUAUUUCCAAUCACUUCAUCUAGACUCCUCCUCAACUUCUCUUCCUCUGUGUGCACUCCAAUUGCAAGUCAUGCCCAGGUUCUAUUCUUAGCACUCUAUAUACCCUCUACCUGGAGAGUCUUAUUCUUCCUAUAUUCCAACCACCAUCCAUAUGCUGAUAUGGACUGAAUAUUUGUAUCUCCCUCAAAUUUGUAUGCUGAAGCCCUAAUCCUCAAUGUGAUGGUAUUUGGAGAUGGGGCUUUUAGGAUAUAACUGGGUUUAGAUGAGGUCAUGACAGUAGAGCCCCCAUGAUGGGAUUAGUGCCCUUACAAGAGGAUGAGACCAGAACCUUCUCUCCUCUGAUAUAAUUACCCACAUAAACCUUCACAUAUUGAAGAGCUGGUUGAUUUCUUAACAAAGGGGUCUCCAAUUCCUGAGCUGCAGACCAGUACUGGUCCAUGGCCUGUCAGGAACGGGGCCGUACAGAAGCAAGUGAGCGAAGGGCGAGCGAGCAUUACCACCUGUCACAUCAGCAGCAGCAUUAGAUUCUUAUAGGAAUGUGAACCUUAUUGUGAACUGCAGAUGCAAGGGACCUAGGUUGCGUGCUCCUUAUGAGAAAAUGCCUAAUGAUCGGAGGUGGAAUGGCUUCAUCCUGACACCAUCCCUCCCAGGCCCCUGGUGCGUGGAAAAAUUGUCUUCCAUGAAACCUGUUCCUGGUGCCGAAUAGGUUGGGGACUGCUGGUUUAAAGGACUGAUGACGCUUUUAAUGCAGUGAGUGACACAGAUGAAGUAUAUAAUGUGAAUUCCAGCAGAAAUGGAUGAAGAGACUGAAGAACAGACCCUAUCUGAUUCUUUUUAAAAUUAUUUUCUUGUUAUAUAAUUAUGGUCAUUCAACAGCUAAUUUCUAUUAGACUUCUUUUUUAUUGCUUGUUGUACAUAAGUGAAUAUUUGUCUUUUCUAUAAGCAAUCAUAACAUUGGAAAUCAUUUUUCUGUCUCCAUUUUAUCAGUUUUUCUUGAACCAUUUGUUAAUCUACAAGUUCUAUGGCUAUAUAGAAAUCUAUUCACAUUCACAGGAUUUUGCAACAUGCUUUGCUCCAUUUUUACAGUUGUAUUUGCUUUCUCCAUAUUUAUUCUACAGGAAUUAAUUUAUAGUUUGGCUUGCUUCUUAGUUAUGUAGUCUUGAAAUGCCAUAUUCACAUUUGCUUUUAUGGUUCCCAUAUUAAGUUAGUUCAGGGCUUUAUUUACCCAUGCAUUUGUAUAUUUGAGCAUUUUUGUUGCUUGCUUUAUACAAGCUUUAAUUGAGACUAAUACAUGUCUUUCUUUUCUUUUUGUAGAGACAGGGUCUUGUUAUGUUGCCCAGGCUAGUCUCAAACACCUGGCCUCAACUGAUCCUCCCACCUCAGCUUCUGAAAGUGCUGGGAUUACAGGCAUGAGCCACCACAAGAACACAUUUCUAUAAGGUUAUGGGGUUUUACUUUUUUCCAGUGUUAAUUAGUUUCACAUAUCUAGAAUUUAUAAUUUCUUACUGGAUACUAGUAUAGAAUUACUGUAUUUAUUUACCUGAACAAAUUAAUGUUUCCCUCUACAAACUACUUUAGAAAGAUUUUCAAUAAAGGUAAAUGGGACGUAAUAAUCUAUUAAGAGAAAAUGACUCAGAGUGGAACCUGUAGCAAAAUAUAAAUUUGCUGUCUUUAAAAGACGAAUUGAAAGCAAAAGAUUCCAAAAGCUUAAAAAAAUGGAGAUGCCCUAAAUAAACUUACCAUUGAAAACAGAAAAUGUUGAAUACAAUAAAAAAAUGCAUUGUUGUGCUGCCAAGAAAGAAAAUGCUUUAGAGGUAAACAUUAAUGAAGUGAAUGAAUGAAUCCAGAGAGGCAAGAGAACCCUGACGUAAGCACCUACCCUGAAAGGGUCUGCUGAGUUUUAAUGAACUUGAGCUUCUUUUUAAUAAAAGCUGCACUGGGGUUUAGGAGAAAGGAGACAAAAGAGACUGCCCAACAUGCAGAGGCUAAGAGGAGACCUACACAUAAGCCAGAAUGCCUUAUAUCUUCAGUGAAAAGUGAACAAUAGCAACAAUGAAAAACCAAACCAACCAGAAGAGGGGAAUAAGGAAACUUGUCUAUCAAAAACUAGAUGCUAGGUAGGAAAAAAAAAAAAAAAAAGGACUCAUUUCCUAUGAUAUCCAAAAAAGCCUCAAGUCAAUUAUUUAAAGUGUUUAUUAAUCAGCAGAGAUAAAUCACUUAGAAAGAUUAAAAUUAUAUUCUCUUUGGUGGAAUAUUCUUCUAUCCAGACCUCAAACAAUUCCUAUAAAAUUCCACUGAACGUAAGCUCAAGUUCAAAAAAUCAUAAAACAGGUGAGGAUCUUAAGUACCUCUGAUGAGUGGCAGGGUAUAAGUGGCUCAUGUGGGUGAUCCCAACACUUUGGGAAGUUGAGGUGUGGGAUCACUUGAAGCCAGGAGUUCAAAACCAGCCUGGCUAACAUAGUGAGACCCUGUCUCUGUUUUUAAAAAACAAAUAAAGUCCAAUGAGUUGAGUGCCAGCAGAAAAAGAAAACUGACAGAUAUCUAUAAAUAUUUUAGAUACUCGAAUUAUCUGUUGCUGAAUAGAAAUAUACCUUUUCCUCAUUAUUACGUUUAAUUCACUCCUGAAAACCCUACUGCUAAGUGAAAAGCCACUAAAUGAAAAUAAUAUUUUCACUGGAAAAUCAUGAUGCAUUCUGUGUAAACCCAAGAAAACUAAACAAAUUCAGACCAAAAAAAUCAAUUUUUCCAAAGACAAGCUUAUAUAAACAAGUUGAAAUAAAGACAGUUUAUUUACAAACUAUAAUGUAAUGAA